CCCGGCGCGCGCGCGCACGCACCCACCCGCUCCGGCCCGCCGCUCGCCUACCCCGCACACGCAGUACUCCGCUGGUGUAUUGCGGACUCUGCACGCACACAAACACAUCACAUUGCUCACACAUCCGCAGCCUCACACACACACCAGCGUACGCGCCACGCUGCGCACAUUCUCCGCGUUCAACACACUGGCGUCCACGCACCCGCCCUCUCCACGCUUUCCACGUUCAUCCGCAUUCCUGUUACACACACACACACACACACACACACACACACACGAAUCCCACAGAAUACUCCCACACUCACAUCCGCAUAUACACACUACACACCCGCCCCGCCUCCCGCACCUCACACAUCUUCCAAAAGAGCGCGGUCUGCAUCAGAGGACUCCCAACCAUCGGUGGAGGGCAAAAUUGGGAAUGUUACUCAAGGACAUCCCACUAGGAUGACACCAGCCGCCUCCCCCUUAUGACCUUUUGCCUCAAAGCUGGAAAAGCUCAGGAGCUGUUCCCUCCCUUCCUCAUGCAUAUCGCCUUAUUGUUUGCCCAGGGAUGGUUUGGGGGCAGUUGGACUUCCUUGUGGCGUGGAAUCUGGGUUCCAAGAGGGAGAAUUCUAAGAUGACAAGUGCUUAUCAAAUCUCUCCUUGCAUCUCCUUGCUACUGUCUCAUUUGCCAAAGCCAAGUCACAUGAUCAAACUCAGAAGCAGUGCAGAAAGGAGCAACACGAGGGCAGGAAUUCUCAGAGGCGUGGUUCAUGAGGGAUCACUAAUGUACUCAAGCAGGACAUCAUCUUAGCUAAUUAUGUCUGCAAUGACCCCAUUUCCAUUUUCUGAGGGGCUGGGGGUUAGGACUUCAACCUCUGAAUUUUGGGAGAGAACACAGUUUAACCAAUAACAGUCUUCCCUCUUGUCCUCUCACAUGAAAAUAUAUUCACCUCAUCCCAAUACUCCCCAAAGUCUUAUCUCAUUCCAGCGUCAACUCUAAACCCCAAAUCUCAUCUGUAUCAGGAACUCUUUUCAUCUGUGGCCUUGUGAACUCAGACAACAAGUUAUCGGCUUCUCAAAUACAGUGAGAGAACAAACUUGGAUGACAUUCCUAUUCUAAAAGGGAGAAAUUGAAUGAAG